rnacentral:tRNA from 1 species
GGGGCCAUAGCUCAGCUGGGAGAGCACCUGCCUUGCACGCAGGGGGUCAGCGGUUCGAUCCCGCUUGGCUCCA